GUAGGUGGCAAGCGUUGUCCGGAAUUAUUGGGCGUAAAGCGCGCGCAGGCGGUUCUUUAAGUCUGAUGUGAAAGCCCACGGGCUCAACCGUGGAGGGUCAUUGGAAACUGGAGAACUUGAGUACAGAAGAGGAAAGCGGAAUUCCACGUGUAGCGGUGAAAUGCGUAGAGACGUGGAGGAACACCAGUGGCGAAGGCGGCUUUCUGGUCUGUAACUGACGCUGAGGCGCGAAAGCGUGGGGAGCAAACAGGAUUAGAUACCCUGGUAGUCCACGCCGUAAACGAUGAGUGCUAAGUGUUAGGGGGUUUCCGCCCCUUAGUGCUGCAGCUAACGCAUUAAGCACUCCGCCUGGGGAGUACGGCCGCAAAGGCUG
rnacentral:rRNA from 1 species